ACGAAAGUCUGAUGGAGCAACGCCGCGUGAGCGAUGAAGGCCUUCGGGUCGUAAAGCUCUGUUGUUAGGGAAGAACAAGUAUCGGAGUAACUGCCGGUACCUUGACGGUACCUAACCAGAAAGCCACGGCUAACUACGUGCCAGCAGCCGCGGUAAUACGUAGGUGGCAAGCGUUGUCCGGAAUUAUUGGGCGUAAAGCGCGCGCAGGCGGUCCUUUAAGUCUGAUGUGAAAGCCCACGGCUCAACCGUGGAGGGUCAUUGGAAACUGGGGGACUUGAGUGCAGAAGAGGAAAGCGGAAUUCCACGUGUAGCGGUGAAAUGCGUAGAGAUGUGGAGGAACACCAGUGGCGAAGGCGGCUUUCUGGUCUGUAACUGACGCUGAGGCGCGAAAGCGUGGGGAGCAAACAGGAUUAGAUACCCUGGUAGUCCACGCCGUAAACGAUGAGUGCUAAGUGUUAGGGGGUUUCCGCCCCUUAGUGCUGCAGCUAACGCAUUAAGCACUCCGCCUGGGGAGUA
rnacentral:rRNA from 1 species